GAUGAACGCUGGCGGCGUGCCUAAUACAUGCAAGUCGAGCGAACAGACGAGGAGCUUGCUCCUCUGACGUUAGCGGCGGACGGGUGAGUAACACGUGGAUAACCUACCUAUAAGACUGGGAUAACUUCGGGAAACCGGAGCUAAUACCGGAUAAUAUAUUGAACCGCAUGGUUCAAUAGUGAAAGACGGUUUUGCUGUCACUUAUAGAUGGAUCCGCGCCGCAUUAGCUAGUUGGUAAGGUAACGGCUUACCAAGGCAACGAUGCGUAGCCGACCUGAGAGGGUGAUCGGCCACACUGGAACUGAGCCACGGUCCAGACUCCUACGGGAGGCAGCAGUAGGGAAUCUUCCGCAAUGGGCGAAAGCUUUACGGAGCAACGCCGCGUGAGUGAUGAAGGUCUUCGGAUCGUAAUACUCUGUUAUUAGUGAAGAACAAAUGUGUAAGUAACUAUGCACGUCUUGACGGUACCUAAUCAGAAAGCCACGGCUAACUACGUG
rnacentral:rRNA from 1 species